AAACAAGCUGUUAAGAGCGCAUGGUGAAUGCCUUGGUGCCAACAGGCGAUGAAGGACGUGAUAAGCUGCGAUAAGCCUCGGAUAGCGGCAAAUACGCUUUGACCCGGGGAUUUCCGAAUGGGGUAACCUGAUACUGUUAAUACGGUAUCGUCCCGCUCUGAAUACAUAGGAGCGGGUUCGCGACACCCGGUGAAGUGAAACAUCUCAGUAACCGGAGGAAAAGAAAGAGAAUCGAUUCCGUAAGUAGUGGCGAGCGAAAGCGGAAGAGCCCAAACCGGAGGCUUUGCCUCCGGGGUUGUAGGGCCCUGAUGUGGGACUGAAACGAUUAGGUUAAAUGUGUGGAAAAGCAUUCCAUAGAGGGUGAAAGGCCCGUGACCGAAAAUCCGAUCAGCCCUAGGGUGUCCCUGAGUAGUGCCGCACACGUGAAACGUGGCAUGAAUCUGCGCCGACCACGGCGUAAGGCUAAAUACUAGUUGGCGACCGAUAGUGAACCAGUACUGUGAAGGAAAGGUGAAAAGUACCGCUGCGAGCGGAGUGAAAUAGAACCUGAAACCAUGUGCUUACAAGGUGUCAAAGCCCCUUUGGGGGUGAUGGCGUGCCUUUUGCUUAAUGAGUCUGCGAGUUAGUGUCUGUAGCGAGCUUAAGCCCUUCUGGGGUGCAGGCGUAGCGAAAGCGAGUCCGAAUAGGGCGUUCAGUUGCAGGCGCUAGACCCGAAGCGGAGGUGACCUACCUAUGGCCAGGUUGAAGCGUGAGUAAAAUCUCGUGGAGGACCGAACCGGUGAACGUUGAAAAGUUCUCGGAUGAGCUGUGGGUAGGAGUGAAAGGCUAUUCAAACCCCGUGAUAGCUGGUUCUCCUCGAAAUGCAUUUAGGUGCAGCGUCAUGUGCUGACUCGUGGGGGUAGAGCACUGAAUGAGCUAGGGGCCACACCCGGUUACCAAACUCAAUCAAACUCCGAAUACCACGAGGUGGAGCAUGGCAGUGAGUCGGCGGGGGAUAAGCUUCGUCGUCGAAAGGGAAACAACCCAGAUCAGCAGCUAAGGUGCCCAAAUGACGCUAAGUGGAAAGGAUGUGAGACUACUUAGACAGUGAGGAUGUUGGCUUAGAAGCAGCCACCAUUUAAAAAGUGCGUAAUAGCUUACUCAUCGAGUGGUCUUGCGCCGAAAAUGAUUGGCGAUAAGCGUCAUACCGAAGCUCUGGGCUUCGCGCAAGCGGAGCGGUAGAGGAGCGUUCUCAGAGCCUUGAAGCCGGAUGGCGACUGAAGGUGGAGUUCUGAGAAGUGAGAAUGCAGACAUAAGUAACGAUAAGACAGGUGAAAUUCCUGUCCGCCGUAAACCCAAGGUUUCCUGGGCAACGUUCGUCGUCCCAGGGUUAGCCGGGACCUAAGCCGAGGCCGAAGGGCGUAGGCGAUGGAUAGCAGGUUAAUAUUCCUGUGCCUCCUGAACCCAAAGCGAGAGGGACGGAGUGGUGGAGAGAUGACGCCGACUGAUUGUGGCGGAAGCGCGGCUACGGCCAAGCUCAUCUUCUCAAAACUGCUUCCAAGAAAAGCUCUCGUGUCGUGCUAAGGGAGCCCGUACCGUAAACCGACACAGGUGGGUGGGUAGAGUAUACCAAGGCGUAAGAGUGAACCCUGGUUAAGGAACUCGGCAAUAUAGCCCCGUAACUUCGGAAUAAGGGGUGCCUGCUUCGGCAGGCCGCAGUGAAAGGGAUCAACCGACUGUUUAGCAAAAACACAGCAUUGUGCCAAGACGAAAGUCCAAGUAUACGAUGUGACACGUGACCAAUGCGGAAAGAUUAAGGCAAGGGGUUAGCGCAAGCGAAGCUCUGAACCUAAGUCCCCGUGAAUGUCGGCCGUAACUAUAACGGUCCUAAGGUAGCGAAAUUCCUUGUCGGGUAAGUUCCGACCUGCACGAAUCGUGUAACGAGUUGAUCGCUGUCUCAACCAGAAGCUCAGUGAAAUUGUAUUGGCGGUGAAGAUGCCGCCUACCCGCAGAAGGACGGAAAGACCCUAUGAACCUUAACUGUAAGCUGUUACUGGUUUUUCGUUUUCAAUGCUCAGCGUAAGUGGGAGACUUUGAAGCGGCCCUUUAGGGGGUCGCAGAGUCGUCAAUGAGACACCACCCUUUGGUAAUGGGAAAUCUAACCUCGAGCCAUGAAUCUGGCCGAGGGACAAUGCCAGCCGGUCAGUUUUACUGGGGCGGUAUCCUCCCAAAAAGUAACGGAGGAGCGCGAAGGUGGGCUCAGCGUGGUUGGUAAUCACGUGUCGAGUGUAUAGGCAUAAGCCCGCCUAACUGUGAGACGGACAUGUCGAGCAGAUACGAAAGUAGGCCUAAGUGAUCCGGUAGUCGAAAGUGGAAUUGCUAUCGCUCAACGGAUAAAAGGUACUCUAGGGAUAACAGGCUGAUCGCGCCCAAGAGUUCAUAUCGACGGCGCGGUUUGGCACCUCGAUGUCGGCUCGUCGCAUCCUGGGGCUGGAGAAGGUCCCAAGGGUC
rnacentral:rRNA from 1 species